rnacentral:lncRNA from 1 species
UGGGAGUUGGCAUCUUCUGAGGGCCUUCAAACCUAUAUAUUCAUUCCCCACAGCUCCCUGUGCUCGAUGUCCACGGAAUGCCCACUGUACCAAUGCCACUUCCUGCCGCUGUGAUCCUGGAUUCACUUCUCUGUCUGGAGAGGUCAUCUUUAGCAACCCCUUGGAGGUCUGCACAGAUAUCAACGAGUGUGGCCCACCUCUAUACGUGUCUUGUGGAAGCUUUGCACAUUGUCACAAUGUUGAGGGGAGUCACUACUGUGAAUGUGCCUCUGGGCAUGAACUCCUUUCAGGGGGCACCAAAUUCCAAAGUGAGAAGGAGAACACUUGUCAAGAAGUCCCCUUCUCCUCAUGGACAUCACCUUCUGGAGUCAGCAGCCAGAGUGUCUCUCAUUUCUUUGACAAAGUCCAGCAAUUAUCCCAAGACUUCAUGCCAGCCUUGGCCAAGAACACCAUCCAGGU